rnacentral:miRNA from 10 species
UAGAAAUAUAAGGUUGGUGCAAAAGUAAUUGCGGUUUUUACCAUUAUUUCCAAUGGCAAGAACUGCAAUUAAUUUUGCGCCAAGCUAAUAAUU